rnacentral:rRNA from 1 species
UUAUCACGGGAGACACACGGCGGGUGCUAACGUCCGUCGUGAAGAGGGAAACAACCCAGACCGCCAGCUAAGGUCCCAAAGUCAUGGUUAAGUGGGAAACGAUGUGGGAAGGCCCAGACAGCCAGGAUGUUGGCUUAGAAGCAGCCAUCAUUUAAAGAAAGCGUAAUAGCUCACUGGUCGAGUCGGCCUGCGCGGAAGAUGUAACGGGGCUAAACCAUGCACCGAAGCUGCGGCAGCGAACGUAUCACCCAAGACAACUUUACGGAGUUGACGAUUGACGGAGCGAAGCGACGUCAAAGCGUUCAUUAAAGUCGAGUUGGCUUAGGGAUACGUUCGUUGGGUAGGGGAGCGUUCUGUAAGCCUGUGAAGGUGUGUCGUGAGGCAUGCUGGAGGUAUCAGAAGUGCGAAUGCUGACAUAAGUAACGAUAAAGCGGGUGAAAAGCCCGCUCGCCGGAAGACCAAGGGUUCCUGUCCAACGUUAAUCGGGGCAGGGUGAGUCGACCCCUAAGGCGAGGCCGAAAGGCGUAGUCGAUGGGAAACGGGUUAAUAUUCCCGUACUUGGUGUUACUGCGAAGGGGGGACGGAGAAGGCUAUGUUGGCCGGGCGACGGUUGUCCCGGUUUAAGCGUGUAGGUGUGUGUUCCAGGUAAAUCCGGUUCACUUUAACACUGAGGCGUGACGACGAGGCACUACGGUGCUGAAGCAACAAAUGCCCUGCUUCCAGGAAAAGCCUCUAAGCAUCAGGUAACACGAAAUCGUACCCCAAACCGACACAGGUGGUCAGGUAGAGAAUACCAAGGCGCUUGAGAGAACUCGGGUGAAGGAACUAGGCAAAAUGGUGCCGUAACUUCGGGAGAAGGCACGCUGACACGUAGGUGAAGUGAUUUACUCAUGGAGCUGAAGUCAGUCGAAGAUACCAGCUGGCUGCAACUGUUUAUUAAAAACACAGCACUGUGCAAACACGAAAGUGGACGUAUACGGUGUGACGCCUGCCCGGUGCCGGAAGGUUAAUUGAUGGGGUCAGCGCAAGCGAAGCUCCUGAUCGAAGCCCCGGUAAACGGCGGCCGUAACUAUAACGGUCCUAAGGUAGCGAAAUUCCUUGUCGGGUAAGUUCCGACCUGCACGAAUGGCGUAAUGAUGG